AACGAACGCUGGCGGCAGGCUUAACACAUGCAAGUCGAACGCAUCCUUCGGGGUGAGUGGCAGACGGGUGAGUAACGCGUGGGAACGUGCCCUUCAGUUCGGGAUAACCCAGGGAAACUUGGGCUAAUACCGGAUACGUGCGAGAGCAGAAAGAUUUAUCGGCUGAAGGAUCGGCCCGCGUCUGAUUAGCUAGUUGGUGGGGUAAUGGCCCACCAAGGCGACGAUCAGUAGCUGGUCUGAGAGGAGGAUCAGCCACAUUGGGACUGAGACACGGCCCAAACUGCUACGGGGGGCAGCAGUGGGGAAUAUUGGACAAUGGGCGCGAGCCUGCGCCAGCCAUGCCGCGUGAGUGAUGAAGGCCUUAGGGUUGUAAAGCUCUUUCGUCCGGGACGAUAAUGACGGUACCGGAAGAAGAAGCCCCGGCUAACUUCGUGCCAGCAGCCGCAGUAA
rnacentral:rRNA from 1 species